AUUUUAAGUUUCCCGAGACCUUCCAGCCAUGCUGAACUGGGCACUGCACAGGCUCAUGACCGUCAUACGCCCAGUCUGGCCCCGUGGUGUUCCUGAGCAGAGGACUGUUAGCAGCGGGACCCAGGAGGCAGGACAACCUGCCAGAGAGGCUGAAGGAGGUUCUCGCGCUGGAUCCUCGACAAGAAAAAGGAAGAGGGUCUCCCCUGCUUCCCUCGCCCACAACAGCUGGUCUUCCAGAGGUCGGCCGUCUCGUCCCUUGUCUUCAGAAUCUGGUGGAGUUGGAGGCAGACACCUGAGGUCAGGAAGGGAAGAGCCUGGGCUGACUAAAACAAUUCCCGUGCUCGCUGGAGAAUCAGAAGGUGCAUUUGUGCCUUAAAAACACCUUCAGUGGCACCAGCUUCCCCCCCACGGCACCGGUUCUCGUCACUCUCCAAGGCUGCCCUCACCUUCGCAGGCCGUGAAUUGUUAAGAGAAUUUAGCCACAAACCAGGCAAGAAUCUUUCCUAUGUGUCAGCAGCCAGAAGGCUUUGUAGAUAAUAUUCUUCUUUAAAAUUCAGUAAUUAUGUAUCUAGUUGCUACCAACCACAGAGAAAAAUAUGCAUAUUAAAAAGUCCAUAAUUACAUAAUAAGCACUUACUGUCAAUUGCAUUCUGCUGCCGUGUACUCUCUGUCCCCUUUAUCUUAAAAAAAUUCAAAAACAAUUACCACAAACACUAAAAUAAAUCAAGCACCAAGUGUCAGGUUAAUGCAAAAUUAGGGGUUUACUUUGAGCACAUAGAUAAGUUUUAAUUCAGAUGCCAUCAGUCCUAACCACAUGGGAUCUGUGGCCCUGCCAGGAUCACUGGAGAGCUGGAAGUACCUUGGAAGGGCUGAACGGCAAAGGACUCAGGAGGACACCCGAGAAAUCACUUGCUUGGAUUGGAAGCUGCCAGAGUGUCAGGUAAUUUGGGGAAGGUGGGCAGUCUCCCUGAGACUCAGUGUCUUCACAGGGAAGAUGCAGUAUUUACUUCAGAGGUUGCUGUGGAAACCAUAUGCCCAGAUUUCACCACAAAGUCAAGCAAAAUAAAAGAAAUGGGGUGAAAAACGGUGCCUCGUCCCAGUUCUCUUAUAGCUUCGUGGUCAUAUGACCCAGUCCUUGCCAGGGAGUGCCAGUGAAAGUGCCUGUGUGAAUUCUGAGAAAGGCCCUUUCACAGGAACAUGUUUGGCUGGCUCCUGCCUUUGCCCUUUCCUGUCCUCUGUGGAGAAUGCGGAUGCAAUGCUGGAGGUGUGGCUGCCGUCUUGUGUCUUUGAGGCAGCCUAGGACUGGCUGAGCAGAAAGAUUUGAGGAGGCCAUGUCCCUGAUGGCACCCGGGAGCCAAUGGGCCACCCUGGACUGCUUCCCCCUUGACCAUUUUAGUAGUUGAGAAAAGCAACCUGACAUUGUGCUUCUCUCUUGGGAAUUGCUCUUACUUGCAUGUUAAUGGAAGGUCGGUACCCAGUGGGUGUGCAAUGUCGAAGCUGUUCUUAUUUCAAGGUAGGAAUGAUGUCAUCUUGAGUCUUUCACAUCCUAAGCCUGUAACCCAGGCGUGGGGAGAAAAUCAAGUCAGGCUGCGCGUUCUGGGCUUCUCUCUGCUGAAAAGCCCUAAGGCGUCGCCCUGCUUCCACUGAUGGUGGACAGAAGCCCCACUGCUGGCUCCAGAGAUAUCUCCUCAUUCUUAGCUGAGAGCGUGCC